ensembl:lncRNA
GAAGGAGAAGGAGGAGAUGCUGCUGACCGGCUGGGCAUCCUUCAUAAUGUAUGGAGAGGACAAAGGGCGCACGGGUGGAUUUCAGCCUCAACUUUGACAGAGCCGUAACCCAAACCUGUCUUAUCCCACUCCAGUGGACUCGCGUCAGCUGAAAGGAUGAUGACACUUUUUCCACUUGCAAUCUGUCUAAUAAUCACCGACAGCAGGUAAAUGAGCUCUGGAGGGACAUCUGCGUGCUGGUAUAAAACAAGGAGUAGAGGAGGCCUAGGUUAGGAGACACUUUCGGACCUGUGCAGGGAUGAGAGCGCGGAACUUGAGGCCUGGCUGCGGCGGUGAGCCACACCCGCUGGAUGCUGAAAAUCCUCUGCUGCCCCAAACCAGCAAGUAUCCGCGAGGGAGGGAGACGUGGAGCCCAGGAGAAUAAUCUGAUCCUGUUUGGACUCCCAGUCGGGAAAUUUUGGUCACCUUCAUUACAGUUUAAAAAUAUUUUGAAAAUAUUUUACUCCUGGAUUGUUUGAAGGGUGGGUUCAGCGAAGAAGCUUCUUCAGUUUUUCUAACUGAUGGGGUUUUGAGCGCUAUAAGGAUACUACAUGAUCAAGUCCGAAUGCCGUGAGAGUCCAUUAUGGCCGACUGCAGAGGACCUGAGGUUAAGUGGUGCCAGAAGAGAGAGGAAAGAGGGAGGCCGACAUGCUGACAGCUGGUACGAGUGAUUAGACCGUGCAGUGAUGCAGGGAAGGCAUCAAAGCUCUUUAGGGAGAAUCCCUUAGUGGGAGGACACAAUGAUACACACACACACACACACACACACACACACACACACACACACACACACACACACACACACACACACACACACACACACACACACACACACACAGAGGAAUGAAAUCCUGAUACACAACUUCCUGGUUGCUAAAACUGCUUACAAACUCAGCUUACCACAUCCAACAGCAUAGGCUGCACUGACCAUCUGUCUUCUGCAGAUGCAUCACCAACCAAUGGAUUAUCAGCAGCUCUGCCCUAGGACACACACCCCUCUUUCACACACAUACUAACCCCCCUCUGAUUUCGAGAGUCUGGUAAUACAACAGAAUGAGUGGUAUCAUUAGAUUAGAUUGGGUGUGGAAGUUAUGGAAGGAUCUCCUCAUUAAUCACACGCGCUAAUGGCAGUUUAAUAGCUGUUGUCUCAACUGCUUCUUUCCGUUGUACAUCACUGUGCAGCUCCUCUGUUACAAUAAAAGUGUUUUAAUCUCAACAGGAUGGUAAGUGUUGAUUCAUUUGAGAUUAUCUCACAAUACAAACGACCAAAAAAUGCUUGAGGAAGUCAAAGAAAAGCUGGGAUUUGGAAGCAAAACUUGUUUUUCGGGUAAAUUUUAUUGUUACGUUAUCAGAGUAUUAGAUGCAGCAUUGUGAGCUUUAGUCUGCUGCCAUAAAGAAUCGUAUUAUAUAGUUAAAGAAGUAUAGAGGCCAUGCACUAUAAACACACACGCGUACAAAGAGGAAGACUGGAUUACAAUAAUCCAGGGACUGGGGGUAUUUUUAGGACUACAUGACCAGAGGCAGACACUUGAGGAAAACAGAUAAUCACUGUCAUAUGACCAGCUGGAUUUUCUGGAUAUACAGUUAAUUACGUAGUGUCUGCGAGGAACACAUGUAGAGCGAAUGAUGUCAGUACAAAAUUAUUUUGACUGCCUCCCUUAGUUAUGUUGCAAUAAGUCAGGGCUGCUGGGGGCUUUAUAUUAGCAAGCCAAAGUGCUCAUAUGGGGUCUAAUUGUUGGGGUUUCUAUGUUUCCCAUGUUUCCCAAGUACUAAGUAAAUUGUUACACUACUCACUACAGUACUUUCUCAUUACUCCAUAAAAUGACCUCAAAUGCAAUGUCUCAUAACUAUCACGUAACAAUAUAAAACUUUAGGCUACAGUCCCACACACUAAUACCAACAUGAAUCCCUAUCCUAAUGAAGACACAUGUACAAUCUUUCUUUUAGUAUUUACAUAUGAACGUGAAGGUGUGACAACAAAAGUAAAGAUUAAAAAAAUCUUUACUUUUGUUUGAACUUAUUGUGAUUGUUUCUGUCCUGGCAACAGUUUGCCCGUUACCAUCACACUUUUGUCCCUUUUCUGGAAUAAAAAUAAAAGUGCUGUCUAUAUUUCUGCUCCUGAAAAGCUGUGUCUCUGUACUGCGCCACAAUUUUCCUCCUCCAGCAUACGAAAUGAAAGCAUCUGAGUGCAGUGCAACCGUGCAGGAAAAAAAAAUGCAUGUUUGCUUUAUGAUUUUUUUUCUAUCGACCUGGCGUGCAGAUAUCUGAAGAAUCUUUGUGGCACAAGUAACAACAUAAAUGCAACUUUAAGGUAAUUACUGAAUUUAGUAAUACAUUCCAUCAAGUUACAGUACUGCACUUUUACCCUAACCUUUAGCAAAGCCUUCACCUUAAAAUUUGGUGAUAUAUGUUAUGGGGACUUAUUGACCUCACAAUGGAGGUAGCCCACAUAUUGUGACUGUGUGGCUUCAUGUCCCCAAAGCACAGUAUUAACACACACACACACACACACACACACACACACACACACACACACACACACACACACACACACACACACACACACACACACACACACACAGGUUUCAGAUACUCCAUACAAGGAUAGCAGCACUGAAGGCUCUGACAGUGACACAUUGUUGUGUCCACACAUACUAUUGCAUUUGUUCUGUAGAUGCAUUUACCAGAAGCGCUAGAGGGCGCUAGUGAGUAUGUUGUUCUGGUUGUGGUUUUGAAGAAGAAAAAAGAAAAAUAAAGAAAGGAGUCAACUCCGGUAAUCCUCUGUUCCUACCUGCGUGUGUGUGUAAUGCUUGCUGAACUAACACCACACAACACACAUACAAGCAAUUAGGACCACAGCUUACCAAACGAUAAUGUUACUAUUCCUCCUCCUAGUGGGUGAAACUCACAGUGCACAGUCUUUGUCAAGCUCUGGCUAAAUUGUUAAGCUGGUAGUGCAAUCCCUGGCAACUAAAGUGUGAACCCCAAGUUGCUCUCAGAUGCAUUUUUUUGGUGUGUGAAUGUUAAACAGAAAGCACUAGCGUGAAGGGGAAACAUGGCUUUUGUGAAUGAGGCAGAACCAGCCCAUUUACUAUAUAUUUUAAUUCUUGGAAACCAGAA